AUUGAACGCUGGCGGUAGGCCUAACACAUGCAAGUCGAGCGGAAGAGCGGAGCAUGUUCCUGGAUUCAGCGGCGGAGGGGUGAGUAAUGCCUAGGAAUCUGACUGUGAGUGGUGGAGAAGGUCCGGGAACGGGCGCUAAUACUGCAUACGUCCAGGGGGAGAAAGUGGGGGAGGUGGGGAGCACACGCUAUCGGGUGAGGCUAGGUCGGAUUAGCUAGUUGGUGGGGUAAAGGCCUACCAAGGCGACGAUCCGUAGCUGGUCUGAGAGGAUGAUCAGUCACACUGGAACUGAGACACGGUCCAGACUCCUACGGGAGGCAGCAGUGGGGAAUAUUGGACAAUGGGCGCAAGCCUGAUCCAGCCAUGCCGCGUGUGUGAAGAAGGUCUUCGGGUUGUAAAGCCCUUUAGUUUGGAAGGAAAGGCAGUAAGUUAAUACCUUGCUAUUUUGACGUUACCAACAGAAUAAGCACCGGCUAACUUCGUG
rnacentral:rRNA from 1 species